GGACCUAUUCCUCCCGAACAGAACCUUGCAAACAUCCAUCAAACUGAUGAAUUUGUAGAACUUUUGUAUUUGGAAUGAUAUUUCUGUUGCGUCAUUCUUAAAUGCUGAAAAGAAAAAAAGAAGCAAGCAGCACAACAAACCCAGUGGUUUCAUUUUCAUGAUUCUGCAUGGUGCCAAGUAUAUCAAAACAGCAAGGGAAAACUGGAUAUCCAGCAGGGAAUGUAAAAUAAGCAGCCUCCUGCGGCCAGUGGGGUGCUUGCAUUCCUGAAACGAAACACUAUGACAGUUCUGUACACCUGCUAACAUCAUCCCCAGUGACCUCCAUAAUGGAAGAGAAAUUCAAGUUUUGCUACAACCAGUUCUGCCCCCUGGGCACUGGGCUGUACCUCAGUCCUCAGGUGCAUCGCCUUUGCUGGACCAUGUCACCUCUGCCAGACUCAGUGGCCUUGGAAGUGUCUCCAGCUGUAGUGACCUCCUUCUCCGAUGCCAGCAGCAACUGCAAUCUCUAAAACAUCUGUCAGGCCACCUGCCUGACUGCCAGGAAUAAAGCACACCCCGACAACA
rnacentral:lncRNA from 1 species